rnacentral:rRNA from 1 species
GACGAACGCUGGCGGCGUGCUUAACACAUGCAAGUCGAACGGAGAAUUUAUUUCGGUAAAUUCUUAGUGGCGAGCGGGUGAGUAACGCGUGGGCAACCUGCCCUUCAGAUGGGGACAACAUCCCGAAAGGGGUGCUAAUACCGAAUACGAUCACGCUGCCGCAUGGCGGUGUGAUGAAAGAUGGCCUCUAUUUAUAAGCUAUCGCUGAAGGAUGGGCCUGCGUCUGAUUAGCUAGUUGGUGGGGAAACGGCCUACCAAGGCGAUGAUCAGUAGCCGGUCUGAGAGGAUGAACGGCCACAGUGGGACUGAGACACGGCCCAAACUCCGACGGGAGGCAGCAGUGGGGAAUAUUCCGCAAUGGACGAAAGUCUGACGGAGCAACGCCGCGUGAGUGAUGAAGGUUUUCGGACUGUAAAACUCUGUUGUUUAGGACGAAAGUGCCUGUUGCAAAUAGUUGCAGGUAUUGACGGUACUGAACGAGGAAGCCACGGCUAACUACGUGCCAGCCGCCGCCGUAA